rnacentral:lncRNA from 1 species
UUAAACAAAAUUUCUUAUUAUUUAAAAUCUGAAUAUUUUAAUUACAAACAAAAUAUGUUAUAUAUUAUUGAUAUAUAUUCAUCUAUUAUAAAACUAGAUAGGAUUCAUUUCGAUAUUUACAUAAAAAGUAUUUAUAAUUUAAUUUUUUCAAAUUUGUUUUGUUUUUAUAAAAAUUUAAGCACUAAAUAUUUAUCUUUUUUAUUUUAUUCAAAUAUAAUACACAUAUUUUUACAUAUAAAUCCGAUAAAUAACUACGUUAGGCAUGUCAAAUUAUCAAUACACUUAAUGAUUGUACAGUUUAACAAAUUUUUAAAUUCUUUGGAUAAUAAUGAUUAUAAAUUAAUUGAAGCCAAAUUUAAUGAACUAUCUGAUAUUUAUCACAACAGAAACAUUAAAGGAGAAGAAAUAAAAGAAAAAGAACAACAACAAAAAAAUAAGCAACCUAUAAUAAUACCCAUUUUAACAUUAAACGAAGCUAUUUAUAUGUAUAGAACAUUAUAUUUUUUCCAUUUCAUUAAUUUGUAUAAAUAUAUGAAUGUAUACGAACUCAAGUGUUUUUAUGCUUUUUACAAAAUUUUGAACUUUUAUAUUUUUACAUUGAAUAAAUUUCGUAUUUGCGAAUUUACACAGACGAAUAAGGCCGCCUCGAAUAUUCAUACCUUCGUACUAACAUCAGUACACAGCAUUUUUAAAAAGAACACGGAAAUUAAAAUUUUAUGUGAACAAGUGGUAUUUCCAUUAUUUAUAAUAGACAUUUUGAUUUUUAAUAAUUAAAGACACAUUAUUCUCAUAUAUUGUUUAUUUAUGUGCUUGUUAAUCUGUAUAUUCAUUUGUAUAUUUAUUAAUUAAUUCAUUUAUUUGUUCUAUUCAUUUUUUUUUGUUUUUUUUUGUAAUUAUAAGGGAAAAAAAAAAAACACUUGUAACUUCGCAAUUACAACUUUACAUACAUAUAUGCUCCAAAUUGCAACUCUAUAUAUAUGCUCUAAAUUUAUUAUUAAAUUUCAUUUCAACAAAAAAAAACAAAUAAAUAAAAUAAAAUAAAUGAAUAAAUAAAUAAA